rnacentral:lncRNA from 1 species
CUUCGUCGUCGGCUCCUCAUAAAUGAUGUUAGGAUCGGCCAGCUCAUCCUCGGAAUCCGAAAAGAAAGGUUACAUUUGUUGAUACUACAAGGAUUGAUGAUAUUUUCUCUUUGCAUUGAAAUUCUAAAAAUACGUCCAACUAAGAAUACAAACUCCCCCUUAAGGUUGGGUUUUUCCUUGCCAAUUUAAUGUUCAUUUUACUUCAUAGAGGUAUAGAGAGAACAUAAGUGCUCAAAACUCAUGAAUAAUUUAAGCAUAAAAUCAAAAAUUUUUAAAGUAAAUUGAAUUUAAAAUCUCAAUAUUAACUUAAAAUAAAAUUAAUCGUAUGGAUAAUCUGCCAUAUACAAUAAUAAACAAUAUAUUAGCUAGUAAAAUCAAGAAAUUCGGAAAGGCAUACCUUAAGCAAAAGUGAAUAUUGAUAGAGACGACGAAAAGAAGAGGAAGAACUUGAGAAGCAAAAAAUUCACAGCAAGAACACAGAAGAGACGAUAUGUAUUCAAUUUCAUAAUUCACAAAGAACACCACGUGUGAGGCCAGCAAACAAAGUCAGCUUUACGAAUUAACAUGAACUUACAAAAGUAGCCUUAGACUAACUAUUAAUUCCAGGUAAGCACACAUGUUGACUGAGAGGAGCCAAAAAUCAUAAGAGGUUUCACAGCUUUACCCAAUUUAAACAAUUUGUACGCAAUAACUAUUCCAAAAAUCAGGAAAAUAAGAAUGCAAAACUCACCUUAUAACUGCACAACCAGCUAAUAAACUCUGGAGGACGAGAUAAGACUAAUAAAGACAAAGGAAAUCGAAAGAGUAGUUGAGCAGCUGCGAAAAUUUUGAGGAAGAAGAGUGUGGAGGCCGUGCAAAUCUGGAAGAAGCAGAGUGUAUGCUAAGCGUUCGUUUGAGCGGUGUCAAAAUUAAAUCAGGGUUGCAGUCAUCCCAAAAUACUACUACGACGGACUUCACUUUAGAAUUUAGAUCGAAACACGUUAACAGUUAAAAGGGGCACAAUAGACAAUUUAAGCAUAAUAACGCAGGAAAUGACCAAUUUACUCUUGGGAGGAAGAAAGCAUGUUGACGGAGAGGUGCUUGUGUUCC